UACGGGGGGGGCAAGCGUUGUUCGGAAUUACUGGGCGUAAAGGGCUCGUAGGCGGCCAACUAAGUCAGACGUGAAAUCCCUCGGCUUAACCGGGGAACUGCGUCUGAUACUGGAUGGCUUGAGUUCGGGAGAGGGAUGCGGAAUUCCAGGUGUAGCGGUGAAAUGCGUAGAUAUCUGGAGGAACACCGGUGGCGAAGGCGGCAGCCUGGACCGACACUGACGCUGAGGAGCGAAAGCAUGGGUAGCGAACAGG
rnacentral:rRNA from 1 species